rnacentral:misc_RNA from 1 species
AAGUCGUAACAAGGUUUCCGUAGGUGAACCUGCGGAAGGAUCAUUAUUGAUUGGUCGAAAGACCUUAUCAGAUUCUACCACCUCUGUGAACCGUUGACCUCCGGGUUAAUAAUUAAACAUCAGUGUAACGAACGUAAGAGUAUCUUAAUUAAACAAAACUUUUAACAACGGAUCUCUUGGCUCUC